AUUGAACGCUGGCGGCAGGCCUAACACAUGCAAGUCGAACGGAGUGUCGAACGGGUGAGUAAUGUAUCGGAACGUGCCCAGUAGCGGGGGAUACCUACGCGAAAGCGUAGCUAAUACCGCAUACUAUUGGAGCGGCCGCUAUCGGCUUAGCUAGUUGGUGGGGUAACGGCUCACCAAGGCGACGAUCUGUAGCUGGCUUGAGAGCACGACCAGCCACACUGGGACUGAGACACGGCCCAGACUCCUACGGGAGGCAGCAGUGGGGAAUUUUGGACAAUGGGGGAAACCCUGAUCCAGACAUCCCGCGUGUGCGAUGAAGGCCUUCGGGUUGUAAAGCACUUUUGGCAGGAAAGCGGUACCUGCAGAAUAAGCACCGGCUAACUACGUGCCAGCAGCCGCGGUAAUUC
rnacentral:rRNA from 1 species